rnacentral:rRNA from 1 species
CCUACGGGAGGCAGCAGUAGGGAAUAUUGGUCAAUGGAGGCAACUCUGAACCAGCCAUGCCGCGUGCAGGAUGAAGGCGUUUGCGUUGUAACGUUUAAAAUACUGCGUAGGUGUACCAAUAGAAUAAGCCACGGCUAACUACGUGCCAGCAGCCGCGGUAAUACGUAGGUGGCAAGCGUUGUCCGGAUUUAUUGGGUUUAAAGGGUGCGUAGGCGGCAAAAUAAGUCAGUGGUGAAAGCCGAUCGCUUAACGAUCGAACUGCCAUUGAUACUGCUUUGCUUGAGUACAGUUGAGGUAGGCGGAAUUGACAGUGUAGCGGUGAAAUGCAUAGAUAUUGUCAAGAACACCAAUUGCGUAGGCAGCUUACUAGUGUUACUGACGCUGAGGCACGAAAGUGCGGGGAUCAAACAGGAUUAGAUACCCUUGUAGUC